AAAGAAAACAGUGGUGAGCAUGAAUAUCCAAACUGAUGUCAACCUGGAAAAUCCAGAUACCCAGGCCGCCGUGAUGCAACAGCUGCAAGCAACACUCGCUAAGCAGGGUGUGACUGACUUCAAACUGACAUGGACAAAACAGCCUGUGCAGAUCAGCAGGAAGAAAAUUGAUGAUGCUUGUUUGAACGUGUGAGAUCGACUUCCAGAAGACUGUGCUACAACCAAUUUAAAGGAUUACUUUAAAUUGUUCACUCUUUAAGUUUGGUAUUAGUUAAUUAUAUUAGUCUAGGUAUAAAACGACAUGUUUUGUGUGCAUUAAGUCUGAAUUGAACUUUUCUCAUUUCAGUUUUGCAUUUAAAGGUAGUAUGUUUGACACCACAGUGUAACUUUGAAGCAAUACAUCAGGGAUCCAUUUCAUUCAAAUAAUGCUGUUUUGUUAAACCUGCUGGUGUAUCUCAGUUGCUUGCAAAGUGCCCAUUAGGAGACAAGUGUGAUGUGUCUGUUUAUUGGAUUACUGAGACUGAGUUAUAUUUUUAAAUCAAAAAUCUUGUCCUAAACCUAACCAGAUUGUUUGUUGUGUACAAAUCCAACCAGUCGAAGUAAAAGAAGCAAGCAUAAGUUAAUGGAAAGAACUGGCUAGUAUCUGACAAAAUUACUUUGAAACCCCAGGAAGAGAACACUUCAGCAUGAAAUAACAACUUAGUUAUGUAGAUAUAUUAUGUCCUCAUCCAAUGUCCAGCCACACCUUAUCAUACUCUGUGUAUCUAUCGGACUUUUCCAAAUACAUGAUU